UGGGGAAUUUUGGACAAUGGGCGAAAGCCUGAUCCAGCAAUGCCGCGUGUGUGAAGAAGGCCUUCGGGUUGUAAAGCACUUUUGUCCGGAAAGAAAUCCUUGGCUCUAAUACAGUCGGGGGAUGACGGUACCGGAAGAAUAAGCACCGGCUAACUACGUGCCAGCAGCCGCGGUAGUACGUAGGGUGCAAGCGUUAAUCGGAAUUACUGGGCGUAAAGCGUGCGCAGGCGGUUUGCUAAGACCGAUGUGAAAUCCCCGGGCUCAACCUGGGAACUGCAUUGGUGACUGGCAGGCUAGAGUAUGGCAGAGGGGGGUAGAAUUCCACGUGUAGCAGUGAAAUGCGUAGAGAUGUGGAGGAAUACCGAUGGCGAAGGCAGCCCCCUGGGCCAAUACUGACGCUCAUGCACGAAAGCGUGGGGAGCAAACAGGAUUAGAUACCCUGGUAGUCCACGCCCUAAAACGAUGUCAACUAGUUGUUGGGGAUUCAUUUCCUUAGUAACGUAGCUAACGCGUGAAGUUGACCGCCUGGGGAGUACGGUCGCAAGAUUAAAACUCAAAUGAAUU
rnacentral:rRNA from 1 species